AGAGUUUUGGUUCCCUUUAAUUACGGUAAAGGUUGGUGUUAACUCUU
rnacentral:tRNA from 1 species